ACCGGCAAACGGGUGCGGAACACGUACACAACCUUCCUAUAAGUGGGGAAUAGCCCAGAGAAAUUUGGAUUGGUACCCCGUAACAUAACGAUGUGGCAUCACAUUGUUAUUAUAGCUUCGGCGCUUAUUGAUGGGUGUGCGGCUGAUUAGAUAGUUGGCGGGGUAACGGCCCACCAAGUCUACGAUCAGUAGCUGAUGUGAGAGCAUGAUCAGCCACACGGGCACUGAGACACGGGCCCGACUCCUACGGGAGGCAGCAGUAAGGAAUAUUGGUCAAUGGACGCAAGUCUGAACCAGCCAUGCCGCGUGAAGGAUUAAGGUCCUCUGGAUUGUAAACUUCUUUUAUCUGGGACGAAAAAAGGCUUUUCUAAGUCACUUGACGGUACCAGAUGAAUAAGCACCGGCUAACUCCGUGCCAGCAGCCGCGGUAAUACGGAGGGUGCAAGCGUUAUCCGGAUUCACUGGGUUUAAAGGGUGCGUAGGCGGGCAGGUAAGUCAGUGGUGAAAUCCUGGAGCUUAACUCCAGAACUGCCAUUGAUACUAUCUGUCUUGAAUAUUGUGGAGGUAAGCGGAAUAUGUCAUGUAGCGGUGAAAUGCUUAGAUAUGACAUAGAACACCUAUUGCGAAGGCAGCUUACUACGCAUAUAUUGACGCUGAGGCACGAAAGCGUGGGGAUCAAACAGGAUUAGAUACCCUGGUAGUCCACGCCCUAAACGAUGGAUACUCGACAUACGCG
rnacentral:rRNA from 1 species